CGGGGGGUGCCGGGGCUGGGCGAGCUGGUGAAGGGGUGCGGGCAACGGCAGCCCCUUCCGCAGGCGGCGAGUUACAGCCAGGAGCCUGCAAUCCCGGCGUCACGGCUCUCUUCGCCGGCUGCGCCAUAGGAAAGCUUGACGUCUGCGCGCCCAGGCCUCUAACUGCUUGCAGCGCGCAUCAGAGCCACGGGUAUGACGUAUGAACCUUGCAGCGUCGUUCGCGCAGUUAAUUGUGGAUGCGCAUCCCCUUUCGGCAGCCCAGAAGAGGUGGGUGCUGGGGCAGGAGCGCAGCGCUGGCACCACGGCGGGAGGCUGCCGGUCCUGCCCUAGCGAGCCCGCGGCUGGCGGUGCCCGGCCUGGUUUUUGGGAGGGACGUACGAGGCAGAUUUUUCAGAAGUGCUCACUGCAAAAUACUCCACGUGAAACCCAUGUAAAGUGUGACUCCGCAGAAUCUGUGAAAAUUAAGACCCGGAAGUCAGGCUUUUCUGAAGAGCCCAGCCUUGUGGUUUUUCCGACAUCAAUGAACAAAUUUUCAAAACGGAAGCGUUGUCUUCGGAGACUGGAAGUUUCGGAACAAAGCACUUGAAGUUUUCUCGUUGUCCACAUAGUCCCACACGACUCCAGAUGGUUCAGGAACCGUUGAGAAAAUGCAUACUGUUGAAGUAAAGAGAAGCCUUAGGUGUGAUGGACUUCAGCGCUAUGCCACGCACCUUCGGGAAUGCAGCACUUCACGGAGUCCUAAUUCAGCCUCAAAAACUCGUAGUAACCUUGGGAGAAGUUACUCAGGGAUAAUCAGCUCAAGAGGAUUGCAUGGAUGCGUGCUGGCAGUGCAACUGCUUCCCUCGUGUUUAAAACCAAACUCAGAUGGAAAAACAGACCUUCUGCUGGCUUCUCGGUCCUUUUAACCAGUGCUGAAAGCCUGCCCCUCACUGCAGGGUGAGUAGCCCUGCCGAGAGCAUCUUGAGAAGCUCAUCUCCCUCUGAAGAAAACCACUGGUGGGUGUGAAAAGCUCCGAUCCGUAUCUCAGUCUGGACACGCUGCCAGUGGAGGUAAAACUGGAUUUCACAGUGCAAGAUAGUCAGGGCUGGAGAAGACAGAGAAGAGCGUGAAAUUGAGCCUUUCCGUGUGAAAUCGCUCAUCCCAUCCCCUGCACUUUUUGCACAGUUGCAUCAAAAGCAAUCUGAUUCUGCUUCCAGUGAAGUUUUGUAUCGCUGGGCCCUCGUGACAGCUUCCGAUAUCGAUGCAACGUCUUUGCUUUAGAGUGCCCUUGCCGUGGCGGUGUCCCACCGGAGUCACGCAGUCCGCGGGUGAGAGAGAACGGGGCCGGACCCGGCGCUGACAUCAACGGGCGGCAGCGGUCUCGGGGGGCUGCAGAGACUGACUGGCUUUACUUCAUCUGUGAGGAGGCAAAACCAGCUGGCAUCGGGGAGUGCAGAUGGACAGCUGUAGUUUUAAUUGCUUGCAUUAAAAAAAAAAACCACCCUAAAUAUGGAAAUGACUUGGAGCGUAACGUACGGCCGCCCCCAGCGCCGGUUCCUGGGCUGCACCGUGGGCACCUGCUGGCUUCUUCCCUCUUCAGCCCCGACUGCAGACGGGCGUUCGGUUCCUCCUCUGCUCUAAGCCCUCGCCUCGAUGGGAGGUGGAAGCUGCGCUCUUGGCCACCGGCCAGACUUGUGACCCGGUCGCCAGAACUUACCAAAAACCCACCAGCUGACCCUCUGCACCGCUUAAUCUCGUCUCUGAUGACGAAAGGUACAGAGGUACAUUUUUAAUGCGCCAGGACUGACGUGUGAUGUAAGGCCGAUGCUGCUGUGGUUUGUUGUUACUACUUGGGAUAACUUUCAAGCAAAUUUUCAACAGGAAAAUAACUUUCUGUUGCGUGCUCACUGGCAAUACAUUUUAACUUCUCAGCUAUUGAAAUAAGUGGUAUUGGUAAAAGAGCAGGCUGAGCUUAGGUAUAACCUGAUCACAGCGCGGUUAGCUAGGUCUCCUAUUUUAAUAACCUAUAAACAUUUUAGAUAGAGUUAGAACAUGAUGUCCUAGUGUUUGACAAGGGCUAUAGUUAGGGGCUCACAGCAAAGGAGCUACCAUGGAUGGGAGGUCUAAAAAGUUAAUUAAUGAGUAAAUAAGCAGUUCCACGUACAUGUAUGUGUAUACAUGUGUGUGCAUGUAUGCAAUAAACUGACAGAACUUUCUGUAGCUAAUUUCAGCUCCUGAUAGCUCUUAGAAAUUUUGAAUGAUGGCUUUUCUUUUCAUGAGCUUUCGUAGUUCUCUUGUAAAGUUACUUGAAGUCUAACUCGGUGUAUAAAGCAAUCUGAGGAUUGCCAUUCCUCUACUAUAUUCCAGAUCAAAUUAAUACUGAAGGGAAGGAUUUUAUGUUUUAAACGUGCAUUAGUUCCAUCAGAGCACCCUCACCAUCAGUCCUAGGCUUGUUCCACCUUUCUAUAUGAAGUGCAUACCUGGAUUCUCAAAAGUAUUGUGCUUAGAACAGCAAUAUUGAUGAAAUUAAGUGAAAUCUUUCAGAAUGUAUGUACACACAGAAUUCAUCUGCAUUUCCGUUCUGGUCAAAUUCUUCAAAAGUUUCCUGAUUCAUCAUCAAUUUCAAACAAAUCUUGGCAAGUAAGGAAGCAGGCACAAAGAACUAGAGAGAAGUCUGGGCUGGAGUUUUCUCCUUUCAGAUUUGAAGAGUGCAAAUCUGGAACCUGACUUCACGGCUGAAGCCCACACGUAGUCGGAUGUGGUGACCCAGUGCCGUGAUUUCAGCUGCUUUCAGAUCAUUCCCCUCCAAUAACAGCAAGUGAACGAGGAUUGAACAAAUUAAUUCAGCGCUGCUAAAUCACAGCCUUAAUUAUACGCGACGUAAGGUAAUGACAGUCUUAGGCUGUGACGGCAGGUUGCCGGUAUUCUCGCCGCUCACCUCUUGCUCACGCCUCUCCCCCGGGGGAAGCUCCACUUUGUGUAUUUCCUACAGUGAAUCACGGCCGACAUCCGGCCAAGACGACGGACGGACGGACGGACAGAGGGCCCCAGAGUGAGCAGGAGGAGCCGAGGCAGUUAGCCUGGGCUGAGGCACAGCAGCCGGGGAGGGCGGCUUGCCGGAGGAGAUGCUCCGUGGAGCCGCAGCCGGAGACGUGAGCUGGUAAAGCCGCAAGGAAGCCGAGGAGCAACAUCAUGGAUGUCAGCAAGAAACGACUGUCAGCCCUCGAUGCGCACCCGCCCGAACCCCAGAGGUAUUUGGAUAUAGAGUGAAGUCCUCCCCCGGCCGGUGUCAGUGGAAAUGCUGUGGCUGGUGGGGGGCAGGGGAUUGACCCACGCUGCUCGCAUCCUGCAUAGCGACAGUGGAACUGUCUGCGGGGGGCCCUGGUCUGGUGCUCAGCCGUUCAGCCCAGCAAGAGGGUUCCUGAGCUGGGCCUGGCAAACAUAACGAUGUUGGGAUUUGGUGGUUAGCAAAUACAGUAUGUCUGUUUGGUUUGGUACGCAAAUCUUUUUAUUUAAUGGUAAAUAAUACUGUAUAGGUGACCUAGCGAUGGAUAAAAAAAAGCCCCAUAAAAUAGCUUCAUAGAAAAAACCCACAGAUGAGUUAAGAGCAUUUUGGUUUGGUGUUGUUUUCCCCGUUGCAAGCCUCUUCGUGUUUCUAAGACCAUGUCUGCAACAGGCUUUGAGCCUCUGCUUUGGUGACAGCAGCGCACCCGACGCUAACCGCUGGCGCAGGAACGCUGCCACUGACUACGCGAGGGCUGGAGCAGCAAACAGCCGCUGCGAACGCAGGGGACGGACAGCGAGGAGGGAAAUGAGCACGCACGGGGCAGGCUGUGAAGCGUGGAGUUUUUGUUGGGGCGUUUGUUUAUUUUUGCUCAGGGAAUGAGCUAGAGAGAAUGCAAAUAACUACCACCAGAAAGCAAGGUGGUGCCGGGCAGGCGGCAGGAGAAGUGCUGCGGAGCCGCCCACGCUCCUGCGGGCAGGGACGUGGGUAAUGAGCACGCGGAGCAGCGCUUGAGAUGAGGCUGCCGCGGCUCCCUGGCUGGCAUCCAGCUACGCAGACGGAGGCGCGCAGGGCGCGUCGCCCUCCCGGGUAUUUACCCGCAGACCUACGGCCAGGCUGUGAAUUCUGCAAUUCCGAGGAGCCGACACCCACCGAAGCCACCGGGUCCGGCUGGAGCGAGAGGGGCGUGAUUUUGCUUUUUAGUUACCAAGCGUUGCAUCUAAUUGAACCCGCUGCAGGGGGGAAAGGCUGAUCUUGAGCUGAUAAUGCCUCGUUUCGAUGUGACUUAAAAUAACUGGCUUUGGGGAGCAGCAGUGGCUCCGCCGAUGGCGGUGAGAGGUGUCCUCCUGCCAGCACCAGCUGCGGGUCCCACAUCACCACUGAGAAUGACAUCGAAGGGCCGCUGUCCCGUCUUUUCUGUCGCAGGCGGUCAGCCGCCAGUUAGCCGAGCUAAGGGGCAGGGAAUGCAGCUGUUGAGACGCGGUCGUUAAACCUGUCACGGAGAGGGGCUGAUACCACAAUUAGUGCCAAGGAGAUGGGAUACAGACGCACAAACUUGCCAUUGUUCUUAAAAUGUAGCUGGCUUUCUGUGGAUAACCACUUGUUUGUCAGUUCAGGGCAUCCAUAACUAGCUCUUACUGUCACAUUUUGAAAUUUGAGCUCCUGAUGGAAAAAUAAAAGCACACAGGGGGAGGUGUCACUAAAAGCAAGCGAUGCAUCCUGGCACUGUCAGCAUUUCGGAUGGCGUGAACACAUCUCCAUGUGCUCGAGCCAGUAAUCUAUCCUCGUUACUCAUCAUCACGUGUCUAACCAUAACUAUGUUUUUAGUUACUCGGCAGCAGAAGUAUGCAUGUUGUUUUUCAAGUAUGAAAAGGCCUUUUCCUUGUGGCUGGAGUCUCCUACACUAAUUUGCCAGCCUCUGAACUUUGAUCCUAGUCUAGUCCAACUGCUGGAAGAUCAAGGGCUAUAUAGCGUGGACCACAACAAGCGAUGAAGAAAAAGGGCAAAGGCGAUGGAGGGGGGGGUUAUGGCAGCCGAGUCGGAGCAUGUGAGUGAUGUCCUGGGGACAGGCUGCUCCAGAUAAAGUUGUACGUGGGGACUACAGUGCUUGCAGGAAGGGAAAAAUCAGAAUUUUCAGGGGACCCAAAAGUUUAGUUCAACAGGAGGAUUACCUGUGUGUUGGCCUCUCCUUCCCCGGCACCGGUUUUGUUGUGCUCUUUUAAAAGCGCUGUUGUUGAAACGUAACGCGGGCUUCCUGAAGUGCUAGCGGCGGCUCUCCUGCCUGCCCUUCCGGCUGGGCACAGCCGGGGCGCUCCGCAGCUGGCACUUCAAACGUGACUUCUUCGGGACUCGUCUUAGCCAAUUCCCGUGACAUCAUGGCAUAUAUAUAUAUUUCCUAAAUCAAGAACGGGGUUCUGUAGGCAAUAAGUGUCUCGAAAGCCACAUUGUAAGCCUAAUUAGAUAUUUAUUUUUUUAAAAAUCUUCACUUGCACCACAGAAAAUCUAAAAAAUGUCAAUAGCCAAGGUAAGAUUGCAUCCUUUGCAUUCUGGAUUCAGAGCCUGUCAAGAUUUCAGG